rnacentral:rRNA from 1 species
GAUGAACGCUGGCAGCGUGCCUAAUACAUGCAAGUCGAGCGAAGCGGGGACGGGGGAGUAACACGUGGAUAACCCCCUAUAAGACUGGGAUAACUUAGGGAAACCGGAGCUAAACCGGAAACUUAUAGAUGGAUCCGCGCUGCAUUAGCUAGUUGGUCAGGUAACGGCUUACCAAGGCAACGAUGCAUAGCCGACCUGAGAGUGUGAUCGGCCACACGUGAACUGAGACACGGUCCAGACUCCUACGUGAGGCAGCAGUGGGGAAUCGUCCACAAUGGGCGAAAGCCUGACGGAGCAACGCCGCGUGAGUGAUGAAGGUCUUCGGAUCGUAAAGCUCUGUUAUCAGGGAAGCGGUACCUAAUCAUAAAGCCACGGCUAACUACGUGCCAGCAGCCGCGGUAAUAC